rnacentral:rRNA from 1 species
UAAAGGAAUUGGCGGGGGAGCACCACAAGGGGUGAAGCCUGCGGUUCAAUUGGAGUCAACGCCAGAAAUCUUACCCGGAGAGACAGCAGAAUGAAGGUCAAGCUGAAGACUUUACCAGACAAGCUGAGAGGUGGUGCAUGGCCGUCGCCAGCUCGUGCCGUGAGAUGUCCUGUUAAGUCAGGUAACGAGCGAGAUCCCUGCCACUAGUUGCUAUCAUUAUUCUCAGGAAUAGUGGGGCGAAUUAGUGGGACUGCCGUUGUUAAAACGGAGGAAGGAAGGGGCUACGGCAGGUCAGUAUGCCCCGAAACUCUGGGGCCACACGCGGGCUGCAAUGGUAGCGACAAUGAGUUCCAAACUCGAAAGAGAGUGGCAAUCUCUAAACGCUACCACAGUUAUGACUGAGGGCUGCAACUCGCCCUCACGAAUAUGGAAUCCCUAGUAACCGCGUGUCAUUACCGCGCGGUGAAUACGUCCCUGCUCCUUGCACACACCGCCA